rnacentral:rRNA from 1 species
GGGGCACGGGGGGAGGAAAGCAGGGGAUCGCAAGACCUCGCGCUGAUGGAUGAGCCGAAGUCUGAUUAGCUAGUUGGUAGGGUAACAGCCCACCAAGGCGACGAUCAGUAGCUGGUCUGAGAGGACGACCAGCCACACUGGGACUGAGACACGGCCCAGACUCCUACGGGAGGCAGCAGUGGGGAAUAUUGGACAAUGGGGGCAACCCUGAUCCAGCCAUGCCGCGUGUGGGAAGAAGGCCUUCGGGUUGUAAACCACUUUUGUCAGGGAAGAAAUUGGCCAGGUUAAUACCUUGGCUAGAUGACGGUACCUGGAGAAUAAGCACCGGCUAACUACGUGCCAGCAGCCGCGGUAAUACGUAGGGUGCAAGCGUUAAUCGGAAUUACUGGGCGUAAAGCGUGCGCAGGCGGU